AUCCACAGCCUGAACCUUGGAGAACACCUCCCUUUCAUAUGACUUCUGCAAAGGGCGUGUUUCAGCUCACAGGGACAAAGAGUCACUGCACCAGAGAACCAGAAAGAGUGAAGAAAUGUUUGUCCCCGGUGCUGAGAACACCAUCAGAUGAUCUUUCUGCCCAGAGCCACUAUCUGUCCCUAAAUAUCAGGUUUAUCAAUGCCUGGCCAUCUCUUUUCAAUUUGGGACAACUGCCAGCGACCACUAGCUAGCUCCAGAAUUCCUCAGUUACAGACACGGCUCACAGGCUUAAGCGUCUUGCUGUAGGUCAUACGGCAGGUUAAUGACAACACUGGGGCAAGAACACAGGUUACGCUCGUCCUGGGGAAGGCUCCCACACCAAGCUACACACUUCUGCAAUGCUGUUCCAGAUGUGAAAAUCCGCUAAGACAAAUAGGUCACAAAAACACCAUGGGAAACGAUGAUGUCUUUUCCUUUUUGUUAUCUUGAUAAAGCUUCAUACAUGAAUGAUAAAAUGGAAAUUUCAGUUGAGGAACUAAUAAAUCAACAGAUGUCUUACUCCACAACGAGGUGCAAGAUCUUGAGGCUGGAUUUAGAAAGAGGAAGAGAAGACCAAUUGCACAGCUCAUCACCCCUCACCCAUCUGAUGAUAUGAAAGGUUUGAAGGAAGCCAGAGCUGGAGCAAGAUUUUCCUCAGAUGAGUUUUGAUGAACUACAAAGAAUGAAGAUGCUCUCCCUUGUCAUCCCCAGUCAAAGAAAAGGCACUUUAAAGAAAUCACUCACGAGCCAGAUAUUGUGGUUGUAUUUUGGUGGACACAGUGAAGUCACGUCUGGCUCGCUCCGCAAAUACUGGGAGGGUGAGAAGUGGGAGGCAGCCGUGGGACCGCUGAGUGGAGGAGGCUGACCUUUGAGGAAGCACGUGGGAUUUUUCCCCGCGGAACAGACGUGAGCCAUGAACACGGGAGCAAAAGUGUGCUAGAGUAACUCCCGUCAAAGAGAGACCCUUACUAGGGCAAGAAGACCUUGAUCAAAGCAUACCCAGAUGCCGAGGUUCUGAGGAAGGAAAUAAGUGACCACCAGGCAUGGUGCUCUGAUUAUUAAGCUAGUUUCUCAGCUCCAAACUCAACCUUCACUGCUUAGCCUUGUCACGGUGGGAAGGCUGGGAGAGGCCAAACCACCUUUCCCCUUUGCCAGGGCUCCCUGAUCAGUUCUGCCUAUGUGCUACUAAGGGAAACAUCUGGAUUCUGAUUGAUACACAAAAGCUGCAUUCCCACAUCAAGGGAACUCCGAGUGUUCACCCUCCGUGGUAAGGGGAGACUGGGAGACCCCACAAAAGCAUCCCAAGAGAGGAAGAGUCCCUUUACACACCUGCUGCCCCGUGUGUGGAUGCCCACUGAGCACGGAAGUUGUCAAGGACAAAAGGAGGAACUAGCCCACCAAGCAGGUUUAAAGGGAGUGUCGGACACAAAAAUGACAUGCCCCAUAUUGCAGUCUAGAAGGAACAACACGGUGAAUUGUCUACUGCAGAACACUUCACUCUGUCUCGAUUACUACAUGGUGAAUUGAAGUUCCAGUAGAGAGGGAGUUGAGCUGAUACUGAGGAGAUAAAUACCCAUCACUGUAUACAUCUACUUCUUGGAAUUUGCAAGGGAACCAGUCAACAGAUUUUUCAAGCCUUAUAAGUUUAUCUGCCUGAGAAGUUCACCAGCUACAUAACAUCCUGGACUCUGGAGCCCAAGAGAUGUGUAGUUUCCAUUUUGGAGCCAUUUUCUUUGAUAAAUAAGUAGUGAGGCUGCCAUUCUUGUCAAAGUUGAGGACCACAACCUUACUCAUGAAACUGAAAGAUUGUUUGUUAUGAGGAGUUCUGUUUGAGCCAUACAAGCAAUAUAUCCUUUUUAAAGAAAUGUAUCCGGAAUCUUAGGUGUUCAUUGCUCCAAGCCAUGUGCAGAAUAAAAAGAAAACAAAAAACAAAAAA
ensembl:lncRNA novel transcript